GUCAGGACAGGCAGAGUAGUUGGGCAGGCGGACUCAGAGACAGGACAGGUAAUGUUCAAAACCAGGGGGGCGAGAAAAAGAGAGACUGGAAAAAAGCAGGAGCCGAGAAAAACGCUGGUUGACUGGACAAACAAGACAAACUGGCAACGGACAAAACAGCGAAUACAGAAGGCCAAGAGGAUCAUCAAGGAUCUCAGCCACCUGAACCACGGUCUGUUCACCCCACUAUCAUCCAGAAGGCGAGUAGACUGCCCACUGUGGAGAAGAAUGCAACGGGGGCUGAGGGGGUUACCGGUGAGUCACAAGGGAGCCAUGGGAGAUAAGUGACAGCUCCCUAACCCCCACCGCCUGCAUCCCCACCUUCGCCUCUGGCCUCCCGCUCCUUGGCUGGAUGGCAGCCCUGCAUCAGGCUCACCGCAGACGCUGCUCCCCCCAUAUCCUCAACGUCCCCGUCCCCACUGGCUGAUCGAUACGGCUCUUCACCUUUCAUCUGACCAGAGCUUUGAAGAAGACGCACUUCCUGGAGAAAACCCAAUACAGCACUCACUGUCGAGUUCGCCUGCCUGCCAUCCUGUACCUUUGCCCCACUUCUCUGGAUUACCGACCUCUGCCUGACCUGACCCUGAGCCCACCUGCUGUUCCGGUGCAUUACACCCUCUCUGGAUUAUUUACCCCUGCCUGCCUUGACCUAUCAUUUGCCUGCCCCUGUUUAAAGAAUACGCUUUUGUUUCUAAUGUGAUAAUAUUAUUUAAUAUUAGUUCAAUAUUUUGGUUUAUGGAGGCUGUAUUCAGCCAAAAUAAAAAAUAUUCUAAAAA